GGAGUUAGCCGGUGCUUCUUCUGUGAGUGAUGUCCUUCCUGCCGGUUAUUGACCCGCAGGCCUUCUUCCUCACUGAAAGUGCUUUACAACCCGAAGGCCUUCUUCACACACGCGGCAUGGCUGGAUCAGGGUUGCCCCCAUUGUCCAAUAUUCCCCACUGCUGCCUCCCGUAGGAGUCUGGGCCGUGUCUCAGUCCCAGUGUGGCUGAUCAUCCUCUCAGACCAGCUACGGAUCGUCGCCUUGGUGAGCCGUUACCUCACCAACCAGCUAAUCCGACAUAGGCUCAUCCGAUAGCGCGAGGCCCGAAGGUCCCCCGCUUUCCCCCGUAGGGCGUAUGCGGUAUUAGCCUGGGGUUUCCCCAGGUUAUCCCCCACUACCGGGCAGAUUCCUAUGCAUUACUCACCCGUCCGCCGCUCGCCACCAGGGAGCAAGCUCCCCGUGCUGCCGCUCGACUUGCAUGUGUUAGGCCUGCCGCCACGCGUCAUCUGAGCGAGAUACAACUACUGA
rnacentral:rRNA from 1 species